GGUGUUCUCACUUGGCUCAAAAGACUGUUCUCCCAGGCCUCCUGAAGUGUGUCUUGCGUUGCCAGCUGAGUGCUUUGUUAAGUCAACAGUUCUGUCUAUUUGAAACAGCUUCAAAUCAUCUUCAUCUAAAGCGAUAUCGCCCCAAAAGGCAGCGGCUUUGCAGGGGUCGCGGUACUCCAUCUGCUCCUCCGCCGUCUCCGGC
rnacentral:lncRNA from 1 species